GAUGAACGCUAGCUACAGGCUUAACACAUGCAAGUCGAGGGGAAACGAUAUUGGAAGCUUGCUUCCGAUAGGCGUCGACCGGCGCACGGGUGAGUAACGCGUAUCCAACCUGCCCACCACUUGGGGAUAACCUUGCGAAAGUAAGACUAAUACCCAAUGAUAUCUCAAGAAGACAUCUGAAUGAGAUUAAAGAUUUAUCGGUGAUGGAUGGGGAUGCGUCUGAUUAGCUUGUUGGCGGGGUAACGGCCCACCAAGGCUACGAUCAGUAGGGGUUCUGAGCGGAAGGUCCCCCACAGUGGAACUGGGACACGGUCCAAACGCCUACGGGAGGCAGCAGGGAGGAAUAUUGGUCAAUGGGCGAGAGCCUGAACCAGCCAAGUAGCGUGCAGGAUGACGGCCCUAUGGGUUGUGAACUGCUUUUAUAAGGGAAUAAAGUGAGCCUCGUGAGGCUUUUUGCAUGUACCUUAUGAAUAAGGACCGGCUAAUUCCGUGCCAGCAGCCGCGGUAA
rnacentral:rRNA from 1 species